AAUGUUCCCAACAACACAUGUGCUCACUGAAAGAACUGAAAUGACUGCUAUGUUGGAGACAACAAAUGAAAUAUUUGUAGAGAAUUACCUGUUUGUCGUUGCUUAAAAUGUUAGUAAAAAUCAGAAUGUUUUAAACUCUUACUGAGUUUGUAUUAAAACAACCAACAUCUGUCACAGCUUUCAGGAAUCUUCGAUGAAUGAUCCCACAAAGAAUCCUUUGCUGAAAAGACAAGGGGGAAAAAGUCUCUAGAGAAUUCUGUCUUGUUUGCUUCAAAUAUUCUCCCCCUAAUUCUCCAUCUCUGGAGGACAAAGGAGGGGGAAUCUUCUCGCUGAUGCUAGUGUGAAUUUAGCCUGUGUCUUUGUGUCUCCAUGGAGACAAUGUCAACACAUCUGUUUUCUUUUUGCACUUGUGAUGGAAGCACUCUACACAGAACUCAUCGUUGUGGAGAACAACAACAGUAUCUCAGGGCAGAACCAGGGAGAUUUCUUUACCACAAUGACCAAAGCUGUCCUGGUUCAGUUCAUUUCCACCAGUGAUAUGUGCCACCAGAAGAAAAGACCGUUUUAUGCAAAAUUCAUUGCAACUAACAGGAAAAGUUCUUUGGCAUCACUGGACUUUGAAUCAGCCUUCAGCCUCUAAGCCCAGCAUGGAAGUGAUGUGGCAGCAGAAUAAAGACCUUAAAAUCAGAGGCAGGCAACCAGAAAAUCAAAUGUCUAGAAUUAGACAACACUGAGGCUAAUGAGGAUUACCCUUCUGUUCAGACUUCGAGAAUGGCUUUGCCCUUGCUGUGGUUAAUUUUCCUUCAGUCUCAGUCAAAUCACUCCGUAACUUAAACUCUUUGGCUUUCAAACAGGAAAGGUACAUGCCCAGAAGUGGACUUUUCAGCUUCAACACAACAGACAUGCAAGGAGGUGAUUAUACACUGAAGAAAUGUAAAAUCCUAUAGGUUUUUACUGUAACUGAUAAAAUGGGUUUCAAGGAUGACUGCUGGGUUUGAGGUAUAUACAGCCAAAUCCUUUGAAAAUCCAAGCAUAAUAUGCUUGACUUUAAGACGUAUUUCAGUGACAGCCUGGAGCAAAUAUAAAGAGAAUCCUUCAGCACAGAAGACAAGGACAAAAUGUAGGGAACACUGAAGAAGGACUAAAAAAUACUCUCCCCAGCAAAAGGUUUUAGCAUAUUAUGACUGCAGAUUUACAAGAAGAGUUUAAAUUAUUAGUAGGAAUGAGAGUAGAGAGAAGUCAUUGGAGAGUUAUGAAGAGAGCAGAAUGAUCCAUCUGAUAUUCUCUGCUUCUGCCAGUAACGAUUUGAAGCAACAAGGAACAACUGCAAGUUCUCUCUCUUGAUUAGGUUUAGGAGCUUACCUAAUUAUGAACAGUUGUGCCUCAGAUCAGACAUCACAAACAAUGAUCAAAGUUAAGAUAUUCAAUACAAAUGGCCUCUGUGGAUGUCCUAUUUGAUUUGCAUAUUUUCAAAUUUAAAAAAGCUCAACUCUGCUGGCAUUUGUUCCUAAGCCCUCGAGUUUAACAAGGUUGCCCUCUAAAGCCUUUCAAGUAUUCCUGCCUAUAAGAAACAAACACUUGACUGCAUCACAGAAAGAAAGGAAAGAAAACACAGAAAUGUUUCCAGAGCCAGUUAGAAAUCAGAAACUAUGGACUCAAUCCCAUCAAUAAGGGGAUACAUCUCAAACUCAUCUCUAACUGAAUUGAAAUGGAGCCCUCAUAAGCCUUGGCAGUCUCUUUGUAAAUGCCUCUUACGAAACAUACAUCAAGCUAUGAGCUGAAAGACAUGACUGAACUGAAGGUAAUUUUUCAGUGCCCAGAGGCAGCUCUUUCCUUUUUUUCCCAUAUUACUGAUCCUGUUACUGCCUGAUAAGCAAAUUAAUUUUCUCACAAUUGCUACGUAAAACAUGUAAUUAGCAUUCCAGUACACUAAAUUGCUACCAGCCCACUACACUGGUUUGAGAGCUAGGAAUACUCAACAAACAAAUCAUGCUUUUGAUACUGUCUUUACACCAUCCAUACAGUGAAGUUGCUACUUAGCUAUUUUACAGCGAUGGUACAAAAGCUGGGUCAUCAUUUGCAACCCUACUAAACUACACCUGUGAUGGGAAAUGUGUGUGAAAGAUGACUUACACCUAACUUGGCCAGUGACUCUUUCAUAAAUGAGGAACAGCAGAAGAAAACCUGUGAAGUCAGACAGCUGAAAUGUCGCUGAUUCUUUUUUCUUAAUGGUGGGUCAGUUUGAUAAAAUUGCACUGUGUUUUGACUAGCCAAAACAGUUUCAUUUUCCUAUAGGGAAUAUCAGUGUGAGGUUAAAUAAAUAAAUUAGUAAUAGUUUGAUAUUGCAGUGCUACAUGCUAAUGAAGCUCUGGUAAUCAAAAGAAUUACUCUGAGUUUAUGUAUAUCACAUGUAAAAAAAGUAGUACCCAUGAAUUACAUUAAUCAUACAAUUAAUGAAUGGGUGCUAAACUUUCAGAGACAUUUUCUAUCAUCACCUUACAAUGCCUGCUGCUCAUUGUUUCAAAGAGGAUGAGGUGAGAGUAGAAGAACUCAAGUUUUG